UAACUGAAGAGUUUGAUCAUGGCUCAGAUUGAACGCUGGCGGCAGGCUUAACACAUGCAAGUCGAGCGGGGGAAGGUAGCUUGCUACCGGACCUAGCGGCGGACGGGUGAGUAAUGCUUAGGAAUCUGCCUAUUAGUGGGGGACAACAUCUCGAAAGGGAUGCUAAUACCGCAUACGUCCUACGGGAGAAAGCAGGGGAUCUUCGGACCUUGCGCUAAUAGAUGAGCCUAAGUCGGAUUAGCUAGUUGGUGGGGUAAAGGCCUACCAAGGCGACGAUCUGUAGCGGGUCUGAGAGGAUGAUCCGCCACACUGGGACUGAGACACGGCCCAGACUCCUACGGGAGGCAGCAGUGGGGAAUAUUGGACAAUGGGGGGAACCCUGAUCCAGCCAUGCCGCGUGUGUGAAGAAGGCCUUAUGGUUGUAAAGCACUUUAAGCGAGGAGGAGGCUACUUUAGUUAAUACCUAGGGAUAGUGGACGUUACUCGCAGAAUAAGCACCGGCUAACUCUGUGCCAGCAGCCGCGGUAAUACAGAGGGUGCGAGCGUUAAUCGGAUUUACUGGGCGUAAAGCGUGCGUAGGCGGCUUAUUAAGUCGGAUGUG
rnacentral:rRNA from 1 species